AGACCCGAAACCCGGUGAUCUAGCCAUGGGCAGGUUGAAGGUUGGGUAACACUAACUGGAGGACCGAACCGACUAAUGUUGAAAAAUUAGCGGAUGACCUGUGGCUGGGGGUGAAAGGCCAAUCAAACCGGGAGAUAGCUGGUUCUCCCCGAAAGCUAUUUAGGUAGCGCCUCGUGAAUUCAUCUCCGGGGGUAGAGCACUGUUUCGGCUAGGGGGCCAUCCCGGCUUACCAACCCGAUGCAAACUGCGAAUACCGGAGAAUGUUAUCACGGGAGACACACGGCGGGUGCUAACGUCCGUCGUGAAGAGGGAAACAACCCAGACCGCCAGCUAAGGUCCCAAAGUCAUGGUUAAGUGGGAAACGAUGUGGGAAGGCCCAGACAGCCAGGAUGUUGGCUUAGAAGCAGCCAUCAUUUAAAGAAAGCGUAAUAGCUCACUGGUCGAGUCGGCCUGCGCGGAAGAUGUAACGGGGCUAAACCAUGCACCGAAGCUGCGGCAGCGAACGUAUCACCCAAGACAACUUUACGGAGUUGACGAUUGACGGAGCGAAGCGACGUCAAAGCGUUCAUUAAAGUCGAGUUGGCUUAGGGAUACGUUCGUUGGGUAGGGG
rnacentral:rRNA from 1 species